GUCGUGAGAUGUUGGGUUAAGUCCCGCAACGAGCGCAACCCUUGUCCUAUGUUGCCAGCGGGUAAUGCCGGGGACUCGUAGGAGACUGCCGGGGUCAACUCGGAGGAAGGUGGGGAUGACGUCAAGUCAUCAUGCCCCUUACGUCCAGGGCUGCAAACAUGCUACAAUGGCCGGUACAAAGGGCUGCUAUUCCGCGAGGAUGAGCGAAUCCCAAAAAGCCGGUCUCAGUUCGGAUUGGAGUCUGCAACUCGACUCCAUGAAGUCGGAGUCGCUAGUAAUCCCGGAUCAGCAACGCCGGGGUGAAUACGUUCCCGGGCCUUGUACACACCGCCCGUCACACCACGAAAGUCGGCAACACCCGAAGCCGGUGGCCCAACCGUAAGGAGGGAGCCGUCGAAGGUGGGGUCGGUGAUUGGGGUGAAGUCGUAACAAGGUAGCCGUACCGGAAGGUGCGGCUGGAUCACCUCCUUUCUAAGGAGUUACUGCCGGUUCCAUUCGAGAACCGGAACUCCCACGUUGAUCACUCGCUAAUCGGCUCCUCGAGCUCACCAAUGGUCGUAGGAUUCGUCCUCCUGCUGGUGGCCUCGUUGCGCCCGGCGCCUCUGUUCCGUUUUCUGGGAGCAUCACGCUCCCUUUCCGCUGUGCCGGCUACGCCGGCCGCCAGCGACCCCGCCCCGUCUUCAAGUUGUCAUCGCGGUGGCGCGUGUCCCUUGAGAACUCCAUAGCGAGCACGAGCAUCUUUGUUUCCAAGCUACAAAGAGCCAACGGUGGAUGCCUUGGCGCCUGAAGCCGAAGAAGGACGUGGGUGGCUGCGAAAAGCCACGGGGAGCUGCCGACCAAGCGACGAUCCGUGGAUGU
rnacentral:sRNA from 1 species